AUCGGCUCAGGGGAGNCGCUGGCGGCAGGUCUAAUACAUGCAAGACAGUGGGGCAGCAGGGGUGUAGCAAUACAUUCGCUGGCGAUCGGCAAACGGGUGCGGAACACGUACACAACCUUCCUCUAAGUGGGGGAUAGCCCGGGGAAACCCGGAUUAAUACCCCGUACAUAGUGAAGUGGCAUCACUUUAUUAUUAAAGCUUCGGCGCUAAGAGAUGGGUGUGCGGCUGAUUAGGUAGUUGGCGGGGUAAUAGCCCACCAAGCCUACGAUCAGUAACUGGUGUGAGAGCACGACCAGCCACACUGGGACUGAGACACGGCCCAGACUCCUACGGGAGGCAGCAGU
rnacentral:rRNA from 1 species